rnacentral:misc_RNA from 1 species
UAUUCUCAACCCACACAUCCUUGUGAUGCUUGUGAGGCUUGGACUUGGAGGCUUGCUGGCCCAUCGCGGUCGGCUCCUCUUGAAUGCAUUAGCUUGGUUCCUUGCGGAUCGGCUCUCAGUGUGAUAAUUGUCUACGCUGUGACCGUGAAGCGUUUGGCGAGCUUCUAACCGUCCUGCUAGGGACAACUUACUUGAC